AAAGCAAUAUGUGCCAGACAGAUUCUUGUGUUCUUUCCUUUCUGUUUCUGGUUUUGAGCUUGUGAGGAUGUGAUAUUUGGAGCUGCUGCAGCCAUCUUGGGGCAUGAGGGGAAGCAUCAGCGACCUGCAGAGGAUAUUGGGAGGAGGGAUGAGAAGAUCCUGAGUUCCCGGAGACAACCUUGAACCUGGAACUCUUGCUCUACAAAGUAUUCUCAUUAUGGAAGUAAACUCUUGGAAAAGCCACUUGUCAGGACUCUGCACAGCCCAGGAGCAGCUUCCUUCCCUGAGGGCCCUGAUUCAGUCUUCUCCAGAGUCAGCCGAGCCUGCGCACGGGUUUCCGCCCCAUCAGCCCCCAGCGUGCUGAGAGCCCAGUGGCUGGCACAAGGGGCACGGUCAACAUGAGCUGGAUGAAUGAAUGAACGCCAUUGAAUUCCAUUCAGAGAAGAAAAACUUAACCUUGUUUUGUGGAUAAAGAAUCGAUCUUGGAGCUGUGAAGAAAUGCGAAGGAAGGUGACCAGGCCGGUGUACGUAGCCAUCCAGCACCGUGGCUGGGUCCCAGACCUUCGGGUACUACACCACUGCCUGUUAGUGGGGAAAAGCUCAAUAAACGCCUCACUGGGC